CUGGUGUAGAUCUCCUGUGGCAGCUUGGUCCGGAUUGCUGCCUUAGACUCUCCAAUGAAUUUAUUCAAACAGCUGCCUUUGUGCUGCUGUGUUUUGCUUAUCUGGGAGCGAGAGUUUCUGUGUCUGUUCCCAGGCAUCUUCUUGCAGCUGCAGGCAUCCCCGCCACGUCUGCUUCUAGCUUCCCUGUAGUCUUUGUGCUGCUCUGCGGAAAUGGGUCGGUGUAACGGAAGUGCUAUGCAGGUCUGUGUGUGUGAUUGUCAGGGAGAGUUGGCCUGGCACAUAAACCAGCUGGCACCCCCUCUGGCAUCAUCUGGACUCCUGGAUCCACAUGACAGUUAAUUUUAGGUAUCAGGAUGCCCAGAGAGUAAAACAUUAUCGCUGGGUGUGCCUGUAAGGCUAUUUCCAGAGGAGAUUAGCAUUUGAAUGAGUACACUGAGGGAUGAAGAUCUGCCCUCACUAAUGUAGGUGGGCACCGUCCAAUCCACUGAGAGCCUGGACAGAACAAAAUGUGAAGGAAGGGUGAUGAAUUUGCCAUCCUCCUUGGGAGCUGGGACAUUCAUCUUCUCCUGCCAUCAGACAUCAGAGCUCCAGGUUCUCAGAUCUUCGGACUCUGAGCCUUACACCACUGGCUCCUCUGGGUCUCCAGCUUGUUGACGCCAUAUUUUGGAACUUCUAAGCCUCCGUAAUCAUAUGAGCCAAUGAUUUGGUUUGGACCUGUGUCUCUGCCCAAAUCUGAUGUUAAACUGUAAUCCCCAGUGUUGGAGGUGGGAGCUGGUGGGAGGUGACUGGAUUAUGGGGGUGGAGUUCUCAUGAAUGGUUUAGCACCAUCUCCCCUUGAUACUGCAGAGUGAGUUCUUGUGAGAUCUGGUUGUUUAAAAAGUGUGCAGGAGGCUGGCAGGUGAAUUGCUUGAGGUCAGAAGUUCAAGACCAGCCUGGCCAACAUGGUGAAACCUUGUCUCCACUAAAAUACAAAAGUGAGCUGGGCUUGGUGGUGGGCACCUGUAAUCCCAGCUACUAGAGAGGCUGAGGCAGGAGAAUUGCUUGAACCCAGGUGGUGGAGGUUGCAGUGAGCAAAGAUCAUGACACUGCACUCCAGCCUGGGUGACAGAGCAAGACUCUGUAUCAAAAAAAAAAAAAAAAAUUAUGAAGGACCUCCCCCUUCUCUCUCUUGCUCCUGCUCCAGCCAUGAUUGUAAGUUUCCUGAGGCUUCCCCAGAAGCGGAAGUUGCAAUGCUUCCUGUACAGGCUGCAGAAGUGUGAGCCAAUUAAACCUCUUUUCUUCGUAAAUUACCCAGUCUCAGGUGUUUCUUUAUAGCAGUGUGAGACCAGACUAAUGCAGUCAAUUCCCCUAAUAAAUCCCCUCUUCUUUAUCUACACAUAUACCCUACUGGUUCUGUUUCCAUGGAGAACCCUGACUAACACGGUCCAGUUGUACCUAAUGUUAGCUUCCCCUGGACUCUUACGGGCCAUUAUAUGCUAUUUAUUUUGAAUUUGUAUUUGUAUUUUUAGAGUCAGGGUCUCACUCUUUCACCCAGGCUGGGGUGUAGUGGCACAAUCAUAGCUCACUGUAACCUCCAAUACCUGGGCUUAUGUGAUCCUCCUACCUCAGCCUCCCGAGUGGCUAGGACUAUAGAUGUGCGCUUACCACACCUACCUAACUUUUAUAUUUUUUGUAGAUAUGAGAUCUCUGUGUUGCCCAGGCUGGUCUCAAACUCCUGGCCUCAAGUGAUUUUCCUGCCUUGGCCUCCCAAAGUGCUGGGAUUGUAGGUAUGAGCCACCGCAGCCAGCCCAUUCUACUUAUUUUUGCAUAAACUAUUUUGAAUGGGGUGUCUGUCACUUGCAACCCAAAAUGUCCUUAU
rnacentral:lncRNA from 10 species